UAUAAAUAUACAGCCUCUUGUGGAUUUCUGUUCUAGAGAUCUGUGUGCCAUAAGGCUGAAUUCCAACAAAGACAUAAACAACCUCAACAUCGUUAUUGCAUCAGCCUACAUGCAUGAGGCGGAUGCGGUACCACGUGAAGGACUUAACACACUAAUCAGAUUCUGCGAACAAAAUGGAUGGGAACUGAUUGUGUCAACGGACUCCAAUGCCCAUCAUCCGCUAUGGGGAAUGGAAGCAAGCAACAAUAGAGAAAACUGCUGGCAAACCACCUAUGAGAUUGUCACCUACAACAAGGUGAAAUGGGCGGUGGACAGCUUCCAGCCUUUCAAGUCAGCGGGCACAGAUGGCGUCUUUCCUGCACUGCUACAGUGGGGAGGAGGAAAGUUGUUGUGUCACGGACAGCCCUCUAUGCAGAGGUUGCCUGGGGGCAGAGGAAACAGCUGCUCACGUUCUGCUGGAAUGCAGUGAGGUGGCAAACUACAGGGCGAAGCACCUGGGGUCACCAGGCGCUCUUCGGGAAGUCUUCUGCGACGUUAAGA